rnacentral:tRNA from 1 species
CGGGGUGUAGCUCAGCUUGGUCAGAGCGCUGCGUUCGGGACGCAGAGGCCCGCGGUUCAAAUCCGCGCACCCCGACCA